rfam:Sarcophilus harrisii ctg7180002519371, whole genome shotgun sequence.
AUACAGGCUUUGCUCAAAGCCAUUUAAUGACAGAAUUAGAAUUAG